GACGAACGCUGGCGGCGUGCUUAACACAUGCAAGUCGAACGGAAAGGCCCUGCUUUUGUGGGGUGCUCGAGUGGCGAACGGGUGAGUAACACGUGAGUAACCUGCCCUUGACUUUGGGAUAACUUCAGGAAACUGGGGCUAAUACCGGAUAGGAGCUCCUGCUGCAUGGUGGGGGUUGGAAAGUUUCGGCGGUUGGGGAUGGACUCGCGGCUUAUCAGCUUGUUGGUGGGGUAGUGGCUUACCAAGGCUUUGACGGGUAGCCGGCCUGAGAGGGUGACCGGCCACAUUGGGACUGAGAUACGGCCCAGACUCCUACGGGGGGCAGCAGUGGGGAAUAUUGCACAGUGGGCGGAAGCCUGAGGCAGCGACGCCGCGUGCGGGAUGACGGCCUUCGGGUUGUAAACCGCUUUCGCCUGUGAUGAAGCGUGAGUGACGGUAAUGGGUAAAGAAGCACCGGCUAACUACGUG
rnacentral:rRNA from 1 species